UACGUAGGAGGCAAGCGUUGUCCGGAAUUACUGGGCGUAAAGCGCGUGUAGGUGGUGGGACAAGUCUGCUGUGAAAGCGCCUGGCUUAACCGGGCGAGGUCGGCGGAAACUGUUCGACUCGAGGACGGUAGAGGGGGGUGGAAUUCCCGGUGUAGCGGUGAAAUGCGUAGAGAUCGGGAGGAACACCAGCGGCGAAGGCGGCAAACUGGAUAGGCACUGACACUCAACAACGAAAGCGUGGGGAGCAAACAGG
rnacentral:rRNA from 1 species